AAUAAUUAAGGGCAGGUUUUUCACGUCCCUGUUCUUGUGAUGAAUUGACAAUAAUAACUAUAUAUACUAAGGCAAAAACUAGCUUUAAUUUCCUGCUACCUUCAAGCAUGCCUUGUAAGUGGUAGGAGCUAGUGAUCAGCGAGAGGAUGAAAUGGUGGCCUACCAAGCUAAGCCAGCUUCUAAUUUCGUCUUCUAGCUAGCUUCUUCCUUUUAGAUGUUUUCCUUUUCUAACUUGCUAUAUACGGUGAAUGCGUGUACUGAUCAGUCCACCCUUUCUCGACGGGCUUAUGAAUAUAUGAAUGAGAGUUAAUUAGUGACGAGCAGAUGUACGUCUAAUGGUGUAUACAGAUUAAAUAAUCUUGCAUAUCGUGCAUUUUCUUUUGGUAAGUGAAUUUGAGUUACUUCUUUAUAUUGUAGUACAAGAAUAUUCAAUGGAAGCCACAACUUCGAUCAUGGUGGAAUUAUGAAAACUUUUAAGAAUCAUUUUUAGCGGUUUUUACAAAUUCACCAUUCCACAUAAUAUUUCCCCAGACUAUCUCCAACAAUGGUCACCUAAAUUACAAGACCUAUUUGUCCUUUGGGUAGCGCUACAGGUAAAAGGUUCUAUACCUAUUUUUAAUCUUCUCCAACAACAAGACUUAAAAGACAACACUCUCUUCAAAUGGGUCUCGAGGAGAGAGGAUACCCAAAUUUGGGUUAUGCCUCUCCUGAUACCUAAAAUAGGUCUUCUGUAUGGGUACUCUGUUGGAGGCUAUAGGUAUUGUGUUGAAAACCUAUUUUGGGUUUGGGUUCCCAAAUAGGUCUCCUAUUGGAGACAGCCGGUGUUUCUCAAACUUUGAAAAAUAGCACAUCCAUAUUGCAUCCAUAGUGACAUGUCGCACAAGUUGAUAUACAAACUGGUUUUUAAAAAUACAUACAAAACAAACAAAAUUUAGGUCCCUGUGUACUAGCAGAAAAGAACAAAUUAAAAAAGAUUUUACGUAUCAAUAUUUGUGGCAUGUCCCAUAUAGGGCUGCUCACUUGAUGUGCAAAAUUUUGAUUUUUUGUUUUAAAACUGCUACUUUUCAUUUUUUUCCCACAAUUCCAUUGAGAAGGUAGUUUUAAUAUUUAUCAAUAGAAGGUACUUUAUGAUAUUAUAUUGUUUCAUAAUAGCAUAUAUAUGUGGUAUUGCUUUGGACCAGGAUUAUAGUACUUUAACUUUAAUAGAUCAGGACCAGAUGAUGAAUAAUUUUAUAGUUUGUGGCCUAGGUGAAGAAUCACAAAAUAGUUUAAGGUGUCUUUGGUACACUAGUAUAGCACAUAUUUCUAGUGGCAGUUCUACAAGGGGUUUGUACAAGCAGUAGACAGUACCGCCAAGCGGUUCCUUGAGAACUGCGUGGUCCUCCGACAUAAGUCGUGUGUAGCUAGUUGUGCUGCGACAAGUUUUCCUCUUUCCUCUUCCCCUCUCUCACUGACACAGAUGGAGCUGCUGGAGCAAAAAAAAAUUAGCUUCUCCUACUCCUACUUGGCGUAGGGACCAUCUCUGUAAUUAUAGGCUACACCAUGAUCCAUACCAAACAGGGCCUUAGGGACCAUCUGUAUAAUUAUGGGCUACAUACAAAUCCACAUAUCGGUUCCACGUUAGAUUGUGACGUGGCUGUUUCAUACUAGGAUGGUAUACUUAAAUAGUUGAGGGACAUAUAUAUGCAAUUUCAUAGCUUGAGGAACUGGAUGAGAAUCGUGUAAUAGUUUAGGGACCGUCAGUGUAAUUUACUCAUAAUUUAAAUACGAAUUUAGGGUGUUACUUUGUUAUAUUUCAUAACUGCAUAGGUGCCAAGUUAUAAAACAAAUUAGAUCCAAUAUAUUUUUGUCAAUGUUGAUUAGACUUUAUGUAAAUCUUCUCUAAGAAUUUCUACGAUUUUCAAUUUUUCUCACAUCUUGUUAUGACUAAUUAACAUGGAUGCUCCAAUUAAUAACACUAACAUUAGCCCCAUUAGUUUUUUUUCAAAAAAUAAUGUUGGUAAAGUUAAGCUAACUAGGGCCUUGUUUAGUUCCGAAAAAAAUUCGGAUUUCGCUACUGUAGCACUUUCGUUUUUAUUUGAUAAAUAUUGUUCAAUCAUGAACUAACUAGGAUCAAAAGAUUCGUCUCACGAUUUACAGACAAACUGUGUAAUUAGUUUUUGUUUUCGUCUAUAUUUAAUGCUUCAUGCAUGUGCCGCAAGAUUCGAUGUGACGGGAAAUCUUGAAAACAUUUUGGAUUUCGGGAUGAAGUAAACAAGGGCUAGGUUCUUUUGUUGUUGCUUGCCCCUGUUCUGCAUUAUGAAAAUAUAUGUUUCCAUUUAUUAUCUUAAUCUUGAUGCACCCACUACUGGAAACCAGAAUACUCCUAUGUGUGUCAAAACUCACAGAAAAAGGUGAAUAAGCAACCCUUAGAAUAACACAGAGAAAUAUAAUGAUGGAAAAUUCCAUUUUUCUAUGAGUUCGCCGUCAGAAAUAGUUUUUCUGUCGGUCCACGACCCACAGAAAAAUUAUGCUCGCCCAGAUUACAAUUUAAUCUUUUGUGCGCAUGUCCACAUAGAAAAAUACUAUUACAUGCACAGGAAAAAGAAACCAAUCACGCAGGGAAAACAUAUAUUUUUGUGUCAGUCUAGUGAACUCAUAGAAAAAUGUCUUUCACCCAAAUUUAAAAUAAUGUUUCUAUGCAGCCACCCUCAUCGGAUAAAGUUACACGUACGGAAAAAAUAUUCUAUUUUGAAACUGUAGCAAUAGCAUAUUAAAAUAUAUAUUUUCCAUACUAUAAUUUCAUGACACAUGACAACAUAAUAAAUAGCAUACAUAGAAAGAUGGUCUCUAAAUAUUCAACACAUUCCAUAGACGAUGUCCAAAUGUUCCGACAUCGAUACAUUCAAAAGCAUUACCAUCUCAUCUCAGCGGUUCAAGUUUCAACCAAGAUGACUAAGCUACCAGCAUGCAUCAUUGAGUCAUAUGGGUAAGACGACAGCUAGAUUAGAGUGCUACUAGUUACAUUCAAAAGCAUUACCACAACUAAAGAUUAGAGCCAUCUACUACUUACUGUGUAAAAGCACAACACUACAAAAGAAGAAACCACCAUCACAUCCAUGUUUUGCAACUAAACAGCACCAUCAAAUUGAUGCAUGAUCUCCAUUGUUGUCGGAACCUUGAUUGUUGGUAACAUCUGCAGCAUGAAGGUCUCCAUUGGUACGGUGUGGCCAAAAUCAUUGGCAUUGUUGGCAGAUUCUGAGGUAGCAUGAGAAGAACCAAUUGCCUGAAUCUGAACAAAAUUACAUCAGAUUCUACAUGAAAUUUUCUCCCAAUAAUAUAUCACUUUUAGCAAAGGCUCUAAAUUUGAUUUAAAGUCAUUUGAAUAUGGUACCAUGAAUUGAUCAAGGUUUAUCAUGUUUAAACUGCUAAUUUUCAAGGUUGAAACACUACACACCGACAUAAGGCCAUUUCCUCACAGCAAUAGCUAUGCAAAUUCACUUCAGUAGCUAUACAACAAUCAACGUGAUGCCACUUCCGCACUGCUACACUGUUCGUUGUCAUUCUGAAUAGUACCCCACAAAAUACUAAUUAGUUUGUACUUCCAUUCCAUCUUAAGAUCUCUAAGUGAUGGAUCUGAUAGCUACAAAACAUGUUGGCAGUGGAAUGAAGAUAUACUCACAGUUGCUUGCGUAGCGGACAAGCGUCGUAACGCUUCUUCUGGACUAUCCUUCCUUUGUCCUCAUAAAGUAUCUAUAUUGCAAGCAUAGAUAUUUCAGAUUGAAAUCGUAAGAUAAUUCAUAUAUAACACUACUGAAGUAUUUACAAGACCAGUGCACAUACCAAUACCAAGUCUACAAGGACUUUGUUGUGCUGUAGUGCGUUGUCCUUUUCAUGAUUCUCUUGUUUUAGCCUUCCAUUUGCACGAUGUAGCUAUUCCAUUUGCACCAUGCUCAGUCCAAGUUUCAUAGCCUUCAUUAAAAUCAUAUCUACACAAAUGCAUCUCUAUAGUAUAUCUUUUGUGUCUAAAGUAGUUCCGACAUUGAGCAUAAGGACACUUAAUAGUAUCAUUUUCAGCUAUAGCAGGAACUGAAAAUGCACUAUUCAAGAAUUUCGUGGUUCCAUCAAUCCAUUCAUUUGAGGGAGCUUUGCCACAUUGCCAACCAUUAUACAUCCAUGACCGGUUUGACAUAUUAACUAGUUUUGUUUCAAAUAUUAAUAUAUUAGAUAUCACAACAAAGUAACCUGAACUAUUUUUGGUGCAAGGAAGACAUUCCAAACUCAGACAAGUGGGCACACAAAUAAAAUUUAGAAUAACAACAUCAUCAUACUGCAAAUAGAUCCAAUGAAGAAAGAAGUGUACCUUGAGUCUCAAUCACAGGUCCUCAACAAUUCUUCACUAUCUUUAAAGUACACACCACCUCCAAUAGGAACCUUCAGUCUCAAUGGGGGUCGGCCCAGUUUCUAAAACACUUGUAUAUUUGGAAAGAGUGCAGAAGAUUUUCAUCCCUAUGAAACUAUCUCUAGUCCCAUAAAACUUUCGUCAUCUCUCUUCAUCAAUAUAGUGCCAAAUCAGCAUAUUUAAUAUGCAUGAAACCUUCGUGAAACCUCCAAUGAGACUGGCCUAAGAAAAACAAACAUUUCCUUAAGUGCUAUUGUAAACCACCAAGAAAAUCAUUAUUUUUGAAAUUAUUAUUUUUAUAGAUUUUUUAAAUAAUCUAAACUAAAGUUAUAGUACUCAAAGAGAUCUAAACUUUUUAGUUCAAACUUAAAUAUGCAUCACAAAAUUUACUAAUGUGAAUACAAAAGUAAUGCAGUGGUAAGGAAGCGGAAGUUGUGUGUCACACUAGUACAGGGGCAUACUAUAUAGGCGGUUGGUAACCUAUUUCUAUAGGCAUUUUCCAGCACCGCUUGCGGUGGAGGCCUGUAGAAAUCGUCCAAUUCCACACGCGGUUCCUUGAGAGCCGCCUGUAGAAAACAUUUUCACAGGCGGCUCUUUUAGGGAACCGCCUGUGCAAAUGGCACAUUUACACAAACAGUUCCCUAAGAGAGCCGCCUGUGUAAACGUAUUUAAAAAUGUAUUAUUAUGUAUUUAUUUAUUUAUAUUGUUAUUAUUUAAAUAUAUUGAUAUUGGUUGUUGUUCAAACAUAGCAACAUGCAAUUUAAAUAUUUCAUCUCAUAUAUACAUUUGUAUACAUCAAAGUUUGGUGCUCAAAGACAUAAAGUUAAUUACAAGAGUAUAUCCAUCAUCACACAUCAUAUAUACAUCAAAUUUUGUUUCUGUCCUCUAAUGACCCUCUUUAGUAAGUUUGAGCUUACUAAUCUCUGUUAGCACCCGGAACUUAGGCCAAUAAUUGGCUUUCAUCAUCAUGAUAUUUGUCUUCACGUGGAAUGACAUGCUUCUUGAGGAACGAGGAGAUCUCCUCAACUAUGUUGUCUAAGCACGUUCGUCCAUGCGCUCCGCCGUCCCUUGCUUAUAUACCUGCAAAGAAAGUUUAUAAACAUUAUAUAUUUUAUGACUUCCAACUUUAAUGUCUGAACUGUAUAAUGGACUAUUACUUAUAUUACGUUGGUUGGGUUCCUUUCGUAUCGUCCGUUCUCUCUCAUGUUCUCGCACACGUAGUAGCCACAGAGGACAGAUAAGGGUGGUUGCUACAUGCACUGUAUAACAGGAGGGUGGUUAUUUAAUUAUAGUUGCAAUUGUGGUCCUAUGUGUAUGAUUUGUAUUCAUAAGAGUAAAUUUUUAUAUGUACCGGCCAGUUAUGUAUAACAUCCAAUGGCUGCCCUGGUCUGUUGGACUCACACUUUCCAUGAUUUAUCUUAUGGAACCUGUAUGCCCUAUGAUCUCAAAUAGAAUCACCAUGUUAUUCUCAAACUCUCACUAUGCUUAAGUAUGCAUGCAUAGCUUGACUUACAGCUCUAGCAGUUUGAUGAAUGGAGCAUAGCUUUCUUUCGAGUAAUCUACGGAGUCUAGUACCAACACCCUUCCCUCCUUGGGAUAAAUGAUGAAGCAUAUCUAGUGAUUCCUGCUCGAAUUAAAUUCAUGAUGCAUUUGUGCAUUGGAAUAGUUUAGAUAGAUAUUUGUAAACUCACACUUACCCAAAGUGGUACGGGGCCACCACCGCUUUCCUAUCUUGAAACUUGAUUAGUGAAUGUCCAAUGUAGAAGGUGUAUUUGGCUUCAAAAUCAAGUUUCAACUUUCAGAGUUUCUCCAUUCUGCACCUUCCAAACCCUUUAACUCUAUGCUGGCAUUCCAGAUUUGGAAUGUGUGCCGAUCUUCGGCUAUAUCUAUUGGGCAGAGAUAGCCAUUCCUUUCUUCGACACAAUAAUUAUAGUCCGAACCAAAAUACAAAUCUUGUUGAUCAUACAACAUUCUGCAAGGCACAAGCAUGUCAUAUAUUGAAAAAUAAAAAUUGAUGCAACUACAAUGUGUGUAACUAUGUAACACUUACAAUGCAAAUGCCGUUACGAUCUGUACAUCUAGCAUCUCGUGGUUCAUCAGUGCCCACAUGUCAUCGAAUGUAAGCAUGCAUUUGUCAGUACUCUAGCUGAGAAAUGCUAUUUGUGGUAUGCACAAGCUGAUGGUGUCGAUGCCAGCAGAAGAGGCUCUCAUGUACCAGUCAUGAAACCUUUUUAUACCGCUAGGUUUCUUCAAGAGUUUGGCCCGACUGAGUAGGGGCUUUCCCCACAUGUACUUUUUAGGGAUAUGCUUGUAGUCUUCUACAGUUGGCACCUUGAAUUUGACAGGAGUUAUGACCUUAGGCACCGGCACCUGUGACUUUGCUAGCUCAGAAAUCUCAUGCUCUUCUACUAUGUGUUUCGAAGGAAUGCCUGACAAAAAUCUCACGUGCCCAGCUGAGUUUUUCUUCAGCUCGUAUGGUGAAAUCAACUUGGGUAUCGGAAAUUUCUUGUUUGGCACUUUUGGUGGCUCACUUCUUGGUUCUGGAUCUUUGAGUUGUGGGGAAGGGGUGGAAUUGAAUGGUGGUGGAGAUUGUGUUGACUAUGGGGUAGAAAGAUCAUAGAGAGGAGAUGGUUGAUGGAUAGAGAAAACAUGGAGAGGUGAUUCUGGUGGGUCAAGAAGAGACUGGAGAAGUGAAGGUGGUGGGUUAGGAAGAGGAUCGACAUGAGCUGAUGACUCCUGGGUGAGUGGCAUCUCUUGAGAGGGUGGUGGUGGCUUCCUCAGUUGCACGUCUCUUUGAGGCCAAAGGUUGAAAUUGUUUAUCGCCUGUCCGAGUUUCACAUUGUCCUCGGGACCAGGGAUGUCUAGAAUCUCGUCCUCAUAUCCUUGGACCACGGUCGAUACCUCUACUCUACAGUAGUCUUUAGGAAUGUGAGCACCAUGGUAUUUAGGUCCUCCUGGGAUCGCUUUGCCCGUGGCUACUUCCCUUGUAUGAUGAUUGUUAAUCCCAUAUAUUAUGACUAGGGAGCAAGGCGUAGAAGUAACAAUGUUGUCAACUAGAUAGUGAUCCUUGUUUGCCAUAGAUGCGACACUACUUGGAAUGAUUGUUUCACUCUGUGCCACCAACGGUUGUGACACCACUUGGACUAGCUGCAUUUAGGGAGUUUGAGUGCUGAUCUGUUGAUUUGACAUGGCACUCGCUAGUUUCUGUAUUAACUUAGGAGGAGGGUUUUCUAGCAAAUUCCCCAUCAUCUCUUGCAAGUCUUUCUUAGCCUCUUCCUGAAAAUAAGUUGCCAUUUGUUCCUUGUACCGAUCACAUUUCUUAUACUCAUUUAUCCAUUGAGGGCCAAAUCCAUCCUUCCAUCCUUGUUUGGAUGAGAUGCCUCGAACACGGCCAGGAUGCUUAGGGUUACCGAGGCAAACACUUAGGAUGUCCCUCUCCCUUCGUGGCGUGAACUUGCCUUCCUGUUGCAUGCUUGCCACUGCAAAGAUGCUCUUCAUUGCUUCAUUAAGCAUUGGGCCUUCAAAGGACACACCGGUCUCGGUUUCCUUUGGUUUCUGAGCAUGGAUCCAAUUCACAGACCUUUCACCAACUUGCUCGGACAGCACUGGCAACCCUACUGCCUUCUUUGCAGCCUCUUCUUGCCUCCAUUUAGGAACUUGGUGCUGGUAACCACCUAUGCCUAGAUGGUGGUGGUACUUGUUCCUCUUUGCGAGUUGGGAGUUGGCUUCGCUCCGAGCUAAGAAGUUAGGGUCAUUCCUCUGCUCUAGAAAAACAGCCUAAUACCCUUUACAAAUCUUGUAUUUGGUUGUUGGAUCUAUCUCUGUCUUUGCAUACUUGACAUUCAUCUCCGACCACCAAUUUUAGAAACUUACCGCACACUACUUCAUUGUAUAUGCCUUCACUAGAUCAUCUGGCACGUUCCUAGGAAACUGGAACCUCAUCUUCAUCUUAUCCCAAAUUUUCAUCUUGUCAUCAUCGAACACACCGGACCAGUUCUUAAUUGUGAUGUCAAGAAUGUCCCUCACACAGAAACCAACUGUGUUUCUGUAUUUGGGUAGGGCCUCCUCUAGAGCUAGGGGUUGUCUGAUAGGGCUCACAUCUGUGAUGGCAUAUGUGUCAUCUGGAAAUUGGUUCAACCCUCUCUUGCCUCAUUUUAAACCUAGUCGCUUCCUUUUCCUAAACUAACAUGGCCUCACAGUGCUCGUCGUCGUGGUCGUCGGUUCCGGUGCAUCUUCGUGUGCCACUUCCUCCUGAGACAUCAUCUCUCUAAAUUGAGACAUUGCCUCUGAGACAUUGCCUCUUGAGUAUAGACAUGUGAAUCAUGGACGUGUUUAUAUGUAGAAACUAUGAAUAGAAAUCAUUUAAUUAUAUGAAAUCGUGAAUGUCUCUAAUUUACCUCAUCGGCUUCUAGAUUGUAAUCAGAGUCACGUGCCAAUUCACAACGAGUCUUCCUCACUUCUAGAGGCUCCAUGUCGUCACUAGCUUCUUGUUCGUAUGAUGAUCCCGAUGCUUUUCCCAUUUCUAUUUGCUUCGUGGGGUGGGAUGACCUCAGAGUGACCUCUCGAUCUUGUUCCAUAGGGUGGGAUGACCCUUCUACUUGCUUCGUGGGAUGGGACUGUAGUGUUUCGUUCUUGUGCGGAGAACUUAUCGUAGAAAUCUAUGUAAUAUUGUAUCCUGGGGUAUAUACACUAAUAUAUCAUACACUAACAUAUACACUAAUACAUAUACAAAGAGAUUAAAUUUAUAUACACUAAUUCACUAACAUAUAUUAUAAAGCAUACACUAACAUAUAUUACAAAGCAUAAAAUUAAAUUUAUGUAUCCUGGGGUAUAUACACUAAUAUAUCAUACACUAACAUAUAUACUAAUACAUAUACAAAGAGAUUAAAUUUACAUACACUAAUACACUAACAUAUAUUAUAAAGCAUACACUAACAUAUAUUAUAAAGCAUAAAAUUAUAUUUACAUAUUCAAUUUACAUACACUAAUACACAAAUAAAUAUUAUAAAACAUACACUAACAUAUAUUAUAAAGCAUUCCCUGAUUUUAUUUUUAUUUUUUCUGAUUUUUAUAAUUUGUUUGUUGUUUUUAUGGUUUUAUUCAAUUUUUCAUAAAAAAUGAAUUGCCAAAGUAAAAAAAAAACUCCCUCUCCCCUCCCUCCCCAUCUCGGCCCAGCAGGCCCAACACAGCCCGUGACUCCCUCUUCCCUUCUCUCCCUCUCUCUGGCAGGUGGGCCCCCCAUGUCGGGGUUGUCCCUGCCUCCAGCCGCUGCUCGCGCGCCCCAUCCCCUUCCGCCGCCUGUGCUGCUCGGCCGCGUCUGCCACCUGCUACGUCGCGCCCGCAUGCCGCCGCAGCCGCAGCGCGUAGAGAGCUGAGAGGGAGGAGGAGGAUAGCAGCGGCUUACUGGUGGAGGAGCUCGGCUACGUACCGGUGUCGGAGAGCUCGUCGGCGUGGCGGCGGAGAAGUUGGGCAGCCUGCCGGCAUCGGAGAGCAAACUGGACCGCCAACGAUUUAGAUAAAUUUUAGAAUCAGAGCACGGGAUAUAUAUUGAAAUCAUUUAUACAGGCGGUGAUCUUAGACAGCCACCAGUACUAAUGCAUUUGUACUGACGGUUGGCUAAGACAGCCGCCAGUACCAAUGCAUUAGUACUGGCGGUUCACUCCGAGCACCGCCUGUAUAAAAGUGUUUUCAAUUUAUUUAAAGUUCUGCUUAUAUAUAUUUUUAGAAAUUAUUUAAAUGAUUCAAAAAAAUCAUAUCUUCAAAAAUAUUUGUCCUAAAUUAGUGAAAAAACUUUUGUUGUGUUCCUCUUGACUAGAUACACAUGUUAAAAAUAUAAAAUUUCAUGUUUGAGGUACUUUUGUAUGCAGCUUUAUUUAAAAUGAUUUAAAUUGAAUAUGUGCCUCAAAUCUUGUUUAAUACAUAAAUAAUUCUAGGAAUAGCAAAAAUGUGAAUCCAAUUUUGUUAGCUUUAUUGUAGUGUGUAAAUUCUAUGAAAAAUAUAUUCCUUCGUGCAAUUUAUUGUUGACAAUAUAAAGGUGAGAAACCCAUAUGUUUGAGCAUGGUUCAGUGGAAGAGGUCUUCUAUGUUUGUGAAGCAUGUAUCUUAUGCCUAUCUCCAAAUGUCUUGAAUUUUUUUUGCAAGGUUCUACACCCAAAUGAUGACCCCACACAAGAUCUCAGGAUUUUCUGGUCAUGCAAGCUAUUAUUGCAUUUUUCUUCGUGCUAAAUGAGAUGAAAAAUGGUGGACUACACCUAGAUUCCACUAAGUUUUUUCACCAACCAUAGCAAAGUUUUAUUUCCUAGGGUAGAUGAGACCCUGUGGAGAAGUUUGGCACCAUUUGGAUUCAUUUCAGAGGUAGAGUUAGUUCAAGCGCUAAUUACUGGGUGACGUCGCGAGGAAAUUCAAUUAAACCAGAUAAAGUACCAAACCAUAUCAGAAAAAUCCCAAACUUGGUGGGUUGAACAUCAAUGGCACUAGUAAGCAUUGGAAAAGUUUGAGACCAAUAUGAUAUCAGAAUGCUCAUGGACUCAAUAAAGCUUAGUAACCAAAGUGUUACGACAUGGUUCGGUGGAAAGGCUCUUCUACGUUUGUGAAGCAUGUAUCUUAUGUCUAUCUCCAAAUAUCUUAAAUUCAUUUUGGCAAGCUUCUACACCCAAAUGAUGACCCACACAAGAUCUCAGGAUUUUCUGGUCAUGCAAGCUAUUAUUACAUGUUUCUUCGUGCUAAAUGAGAUGAAAAAUGGUGGACUACACUUAGAUCCCACUAGGUUUUUUCACCAACCAUAGCAAAGUUUUAUUUCCUAGGGUAGAUGAAACCCUGUGGAGAAGUUUGGCACUAUUUGAAGUCAUUUCAGGGGUAGAGUUAAUUCAAGCGCUAAUUACAGGGUGAUGUCGCGCGGAAAUUCAAUUAAACCAAAUAAAGUACAAAACCACAUCAGAAAAAUCCCAAACUUGGUGGGUUGAACAUCAAUGGCACUAGUAAGCCUUGGAAAAUGUUUGAGACCAAUACGAUAUAGGAAUGCCUAUGGACUCAAUAAAGCUUAGUAACCAAAGUGUUAUGACAUAAGUCUUAGAUGUAGAAAUAAGCAUAGGGUCUUACAUGUAGAAAUAGAGAAGGACACAUAGUAUAAGGUACACAUUUAUUCAUAAAUGGAUUACAUGGCAAAUGACAAAUAAAAUCUAGGCAGCUAUUUUUCUUCCUUGUCCAUCGUGAUGCACCCAGGGCAACGAGCUCUGUGAAAUGCUUCACUCAACAUUACUUAUCUUUAUUGGAUGGUCAUCUACAAAGAGAGACAUGUCACUAAACUGGUUAAAUUCAUCCAGGUCAGAUACACCAUCAACUCCUAUGGCUUGUUGCUUUCCAGGAAAAACUACGUGCUUUGGAUGGUUGGUAAUUUUCUUCUUAUCAUUAGGAGAGAUGACUAGCUCAACAUAGAAGACCUGUGCAGCACAGUUAGCCAUUAUCCAUGGAUCAUCUUUGUAGCCUACCUUGCUUAGAUCUAGAACUCUGACCCCAUUGUUGUCCACUGUGACAUGUUUGUCUUGAACCCAUUGACACCGAAAUGCAGGGAUCUGAAAUGUACCAUAGCCUAGUUCCCAUAUGUCCUCAACAAAGCCAAAGUAAGUUGUUUCCUCACCAGUUUCAAAGUGUAAGGCAUCGCAUCGAACACCACUGUUUUGUGCCAUGCUCUUUUGGUCAUUGGACUUGGUACAGAACGUGAAGCCACUAAUGUCAUAGGUUUGCCAAGUCGUGACCUGGCAUGAUGGCCCAGAUGUCAAGACCUUGAUGGUGCGAUCCUCGAGUGUUUCUCCAUCUGGAAUGUCCUGCUCCCUUAGCCAUGAGGUGAACUGAUUCUUGUGUUCCUUCAUUAUCAAUUUGUCCGUGUGCCCAUGAUUAUGUUUUUGAAGCUCUUCAAUUUGUAGAUUGAUCAAAGGCUCCAAAUCGAGAGCUGAUUCAGGACGCUGUGAUGUACCUCGAGGACUGAACUGUAAUCUUUUAGGAUGCAUGAUUUCUUUCUCAUCCUACCUCUUCCAUUCAGCCUACCCUCAUGUCAUGACGGAGGCAAACCUAUUGCAACCUAGUCUUUUAGGACCCCAUUGCAGAAUGGACCUCCGGACUCAAUGGCCUCUUCGUUUAAGUACCCCUCUACCAUAGACAUCUUUGGACAAACACGAGUUGAUACAUAGCCAUUUAGUAUUGACAUGAAACGUUCAUACAUCUACAUCCCACGCGAAUACAUGGGACCCAAUGCCUCUAUUUUUGAAACCAAGUAAACCACAAGGUGAACCAUCACAUCGAACAAUGCUAGGUGGAAACACAUCUCGAACUGUGACAUUGUCUCCACUAUGAAUUCCUUAAGAGAUGCCAACUCAUCACGUUCAAUCACCUUCUGUGAGAUCCUGUUGAAGAACUAGCACAAUCGUGUAACUUCAACCUUUAUCCACACCGGGUUUAUAGCCCUAAUGGCAAUAGGGAGGAAAGUAGUCAGUAUGACAUGACAAUCAUGUGAGUUGUAGUUGGUGAGUGUAAGGUCUUUCAUUGACACAAUACUCUGUAUGCUAGAGCAGAAUCCAGAUGGGACUUUCAAUUUCUUCAACCACACACACAUCGCAUGUUUCUCUUCAUUGUUGAGGUUGUAGCUUGCUGCUAGGAGGUGGUACUUCGCAUUUUCUAGCAUAACAGGGUGAAGUUCUUUUUUAUGACUAACUAUACCAUGUCCAAGCAUGAAUUUAAUCAUUCCUUUGUCUUUCCCUUCAUGUCCAAAAAGGUGCCAAUUAGGCUUUCAAACACGUUCUUCUGAACGUGCAUACCAUCGAUCGCGUGGCGUACGUCUAACUCUGGCCAGUAUUCCAAAUACUCGAAGAAAAUAGACUUCUUCUUGAAUGUAGCCCCUAGAGCUGGUUUGACAUUCUUUCUUGGUUUUCCAUCUUUUGUCUUCUUCCCAAAAAUAAAUUUAAGUUUGCUGACUAUGCUGAAAACUCCUUUGCCUUUACUGUUACUUGAUGGAGCAGUAGACUGUAGUUCACUAUUAUUGUCAAAGUACUUAUCCAUCUUUUUCUGCCGGUACGUGUGUCCUUUCGAUAAGAAGCAUUUGUGCCUUAUGUACACUAUCUUCUUAGAUGCAGUAAGGGACACAUAAGCGGUGCCAUCUAUGCAUACCACACAACCAAGCUUUACCUUCAACUGCCCUGAUAAUGUAAAGACCGUAGGGUAGUCAUUGAUCGUAACAAAGAUAAUUGCUCUCAGUGUGAAUGAUUCUUUACGGUACUCGUACAACAUUUGAACACCUGUUUCCCACAGUAUCUUCAUAUCCUACAUUAAGGGCUCCAAGAAAACAUCCAUAUCAACUCUAGGUUGCGUAGGUCUAGAGAUAAGGAUGGUUAGCAAAAGGUACUUUCACUUCCGCAUCAACCAUGGAGGGAGGUUGUAGAUGGUUAGGAUCAUCGGCCAUGUGUUGUGCUUCCUGCUCAUCUCAACAAAUGGAUUUAUUCCAUCAGUACAUAGUGUGAACCUAACAUUUCUUGGUUUAUUAGCAAAGUCCUUGUGGUUUUCAUUGAAAUCUUUCCACUGCUAGCCAUCGGCUGGGUGCCGAAGCUUGCCAUCGUAUUUGUGCUCAUUAGAAGCAUGCCAGCUCAUAAGUUGGGCAUCCUCUGGGUUAGCGAACAAACACCUCAAUCGAUCGACCAUAGGAAGAUACCACAUCACCAAAGCAGGAAUCUUUUUCUGCGCAUAAUAGUCUACUUCUUCCUUUUCUUUGCCAGUGGGUUUUGAACUACUCUUCUGGGUCUUUUGUUGGGUCUUCUUUCAUUUUUUUCCCUUAGACACAGAGGCAACAAACUCUUCCUCUAUGUAGUAUUUAUUUGUCUUGUACCUACUUGCACCACACUUGGGACAAUUGUCUAAGUCCUUAUAAUCAUCACCUCGAUAUAGGAUACAAUGAUUUCUACAAGCGUGGAUCUUCUCAACGCCCAUUGUGAGUGGACUGAUUAGCUUCUUUGCAUAGUACGUGUUAGCAGGCACUUUGUUAUCCUUAGGAAGCAUGUCUGCGAUAAUGCUCAAGAACACAUCAAAGCCAGCAUCAGAAAGACCAUAUCAAGCUUUGCACACCAACAACUUUAGCACAGACUGCAGCGUCGUGAACUCUUUGGUGUAACCCUUAGACUCAUCAUAUAAAGGCUCUUCUGUUGCCUUCAUCAGGGCGUCCAUACCUUUGAUGAAGAACACUGAUGGAUCUUCCACAUGAUGACGCAACAUUGCCUCUAAAAAUUCUGCAUCUUCCGCAGCCAUAUUACUUUCGAUGCCAUCUUCAUUUCCUCCAACAAAACCAUGAUCAGGAACAUUUGGCACAACAUGUUCAGUGGCUAGACCAUCGGUAUUAGGUUGUUGUGUCUUGUGUAUGAACUCAAACCCGUCAAUAAUUCCAGAUGCAUAAGGCGCAGAGCUACCCUCUCCAUGCUUUGUCCAAAUCAAGUAAUCCUUCAUAAAUCCUCGACGGACCAGAUGAGUAAGGAUUUAUUGAAUGUCAUCAGAUACAAUAAGAUUUCUACAAUCCAUGCAUGGACAAUGUAUGUGCGUCUUUCUUGUUCUUGAAGCAUGGUUCUUAGCAGCAUCAAUAAACCUCUGGACCUCAGUUAUGUAUGAUGGAUCUAGUCUUGAUAAAUUAUACAUCCAGAAUGACCUCUCCAUCACUACCUAUAAAACACCAUUCAUGAUCUAAGGUUUAGAAAGAAUUUAUCUAGGGUUUAUGGUUUAGCUUGGGAUUAAAGGAAAAAACCUAAGUUACAUAAUUAAAAAAAUCUAAGUACAUAGCAUAAUUAUAGAAACACACAAUUCAUUAGAAAUAUAUAGAUGUGAAAAAAAUAAAUUGAGAAGUACCACAUAAUUGACAAAACCAAAUCUACAUUUCUCUCUCUACAUAAAUAUACAAGAACACACCAUUGAUUCAAUCUUGCAUAAAUUAGCUAAAAUUGAGAAGCAAUCAUGAAAAUGGAGAGAGAAGAGGCAUUAUCCAACCAUCUUGAGCAACCUCAUCUAACCAUCUUAAGAAAUAAAGACAAAAAGCUAGCUAUUCUUCUCCCACACUCAUGGUAAAACCCUAGAUCCAAAAAGUGGCUCUAAUUGCGCAUUAAUGAGAAAAUUGAGACAAUAGGGACAUAAACUAACCUUUUUUGGCAACCUCCUUCCAAGAAAUCAAGAUCAAAACCUCCCCUCUUGUAUUUUGUAAAAUCUAGACCUUCAAAAUCGCCUCCAAUGGAAGGUUGUUGCGAGAUACAGUGCUGCUCCGAGAGGAAGAAGGGGUAUUUAUAACCAAGAAAUCACAGACGGUUGGAUAAGACAAAUGUCUGUGGUAAUAAAUUUUCACAGGCGAUUGUCUUAAGGAUGCCGCCUGUGUAAAUGUAACAUUUACACAGGCGGACAGCUUAGGACAGCCGUCUGUGAAAAAGUAUUACCACAGACGGUUGUCUUAAGAAAGCCGCCUGUGUAAAUGUUACAUUUACACAUUUACACAGGCGGCAUUCUUAAGACAACCGCCUGUGAUAAUGCAUUUUCAUAGGCGAUUGACAGCUCUACACCGAUCUUUUUAUACUACAGGCGUGUGAUAACCAAAACCGCUUGUGGUAUAAAAGGAGGCAUCGGCAUUGUAUCUUUUUUCUACUAGUGUGAAACCCGGCACACAUUUAAGUGUAGAGCCCAAGAAGAUCAAGACAUUUAAGUGUGCGUAUAUAUAGCACUAUAAAGGUAGACCAAGACAUUUAAUUGUAUCACAACAUUUUUAUUAUUUAUCCUUGUAAUUAACCUUCCUACCUUUAAUUAUCUGCUAGAAGACUUCUGCAGCAGGGUUGGAUAAGACAAAGCAAGCUCUCGCACCGUCACAUCCUGGCAUCACACAGCUAUUGAUAUGUGAUAAGGUCAAGCUCGGUCAUUUACAAAAAAGCAGUAGCAUCUCAAUCUGCUGAGAAAAGCCGCGUGCAUGCAAGUUGGGCAGAUAGAUUCCGUACGCGUGCAACAGAUAAGGCCAGGAGGUCGGUCUCGUACUAUUAGUGAUGCUGAGGGGAUUGAUCCAUCCCUGCGAACUUCCUUAAAUCCCGGCCGGAAUCGGUUCCCUGUGUCGAUCGUAUGACAAAGCACAGGCCGUACCACCUCGUCGUUGUCGGUACUACUGCUCUCGUCCUAUCGUAUGACUAGCGCCUUGUUUAGUUCGCAAAAAUUUUCAAAAUUCCCCGUCACAUCGAAUCUUGCGGCACAUGCAUGGAGCAUUAAAUAUACAUGAAAACAAAAACUAUUUACACAGUUCUUCUGUAAACCGCGAGAUGAAUCUUUUGAGCCUAGUUACUCUAUAAUUGAACAAUGUUUGUCAAAUAAAAACGAAAGUGCUACAGUGCCGUUUUCAUAAGUUUUUGCGAACUGAACAAGGCCUAGCUGGAUGCUUGCCCUCUGUCACUGCCCGUGGGCUCAAGUAAGAGCAGGGCCACCCGCCAGCGAUGACAAUUUAUGUCUUGUUAGGUGCGCUCGGUCGCUCGACUGUUGCCCUGUCGGACACCUGCCAUGCGUCGGCAUGCUGAGCAAGCGACCGCGUGAAUCACUCUGGUGCGAGCAAUUCCGAGUGAUCUUUAACGAAUCUAAUGCGCGCAUUCUAAUUUUUGUAGUGGCCACGUGGUGUUCGUGAGCGCAAUGCAUCUACUGCAUAUGGCAACUCCACGAGAAUUUCUAUUCGAGCCUUUGUAGUUAAGGGGGUGUCUAGCAUAUGACUCCUCCAAAACAGCUCUGGCCUUUGUUUUUCAGUGAAAAAUGAUUCAUACAAAACAUUUGGUAGAAGAAGCCUUAAACCCAAAACAGGGCCCUUCCUAGGGUCCUCAAAUUUAGACACCUAAGCAUGUGUAUGGUUCAGUGAAGAGACAGGUUAGACCCAACCUUGUUUCUAGAAUUAGGUUGGACCAUUUCUUGUUUACUUACGAAGUUAGGUUCAUCCCACGUUUUUUUGUAUGGUUGAAGUGUUGGGUCAGAUGGAACGAGACACAUACACGUGGGGCCAGCAUGUCAUCCUCUAACCUUUCUUCUUUGUUGGGCUCUUCUCUCUCCCCUCCGAUGCAUAUGUGCAGUGGGCCUCCUUCGCGCGCGUGCCCGACGGGCGGUGCUCCCCUGGCGAGCGAGGGCGUCGGACACCGCUCCCCCAGCCGACGAGGAUGCUGGCGCUGCUCCCCGUGCCCUCGUGUAGAUGUCGCCACUAAACAUGCUCCUCGUUCUCUCGCUCCCUCUCCCCCUCCACUGAUAACCCUCCAUCUAUGCCUGUGAGGCCACUGGCGCACCUCCCUCUACACCCACAGCGCCACUACCUCCACACCCGCAAGGCCGCUGGCGUUGAUCCUCCAUGCCGGCGCCGCUCCCCAUGCCUGCACUGCUCCCAGUUCCCUCUCUCCGCCCUCACACUAGCUCCCCGUUCCUUCGUGCUUCCACAUAAAGUGGGUUGCCCCAGUUUCUCCAAAUUGGAGGGGCGGGUUGAACCUAUAUCUAGUUAGAAUAUUCCCUCUAUGGGACAACCCCAACCCUGUUCCAUCUGAAUCAAACACUCUAAAAAAUAGGUCGAACCCGCUCCAACCUUCUAACCAAACACAUGCUGAAUUCUCCCACGGGCCCUUAUUCUUGCGGGCUUAGCUUUAGGCCCCCAUCCUACAAGAAUGAUAGUUUCCCUCUCCCGGAUGCCGCCACCACCUGAUACCCAUCCCACCCACAUGCUCCUCGACGCAAACUCCUCUCCUCCGGGCUCUAGAUCUGGCGUUCUCAGCUUCUCCUCCUCAAACCAUAGUGAAGCAGCCUAGCCCCUCUUCCCCAACUUCCAUCAUAUCGCUUCUCACCGACACGAGGAAUCCACCUAGGUUGCUUCUCCCCGACACCCUCCCCGGUCUAGCAAUGUUAGCCUUGACUCCCUGUUAGACUAACUCCAACAAUGGGAACCCAAACUAAAGAGCUAUUCCAUAAUUUAUGUCAUGCACAGUACAUUGACCAAACGUCAAAAUUUGUUCUUCUCCAACAUAGGCACGAGACCCAAACUAACGCAACGCAACAGCCCACGCCAGGCUGAGCACCACCGCCUUCCUCCCAGCUGAACACCGCUGCCCGCCUCGCUCCCUGGCGGCGUUAGGGUGGGCACAGCUGCGGCACCAUUGCCAUCCCAUUCAUGGUGCAACGGCGACAUGAUAGGCUGGUGCGUGUGUGCCAUAUCGGGGCUGAGGUUGAGCACCGGCAUAGCUGGCAUGGUGUAGGAGGCGAGGCAAGCUGCCACGGCAGCGUCGGCAGAUCCCUCGGUGGGCACGGGCUGGCUGCCCUCGGCAGUGGGGUUGGGGACGCCCUCCGCCAAGGCGCCAAGGAUGCGGACUGCAAGGUGGAUGCAUUUGCGUCAUCAUGCAAAGAGGAGGCAUUUUUGCAUUUCAUCUUGGCGGGUAGGAAAAAUGGGUCACCUAACUGGGUCAUCCAUUGGAAGCUGUUUUUGUUGGUAGGCAAAUGCACUAUUUGAAACUCAUUUUGUGUAUAGGUAGCAUCGUUGGAGACAGUCUUAUGGAAAUAAGAUGUAGAAAGGGAAGUACCAAUUUAUUUAUUUAAUAUUCACAUAUGAAGAAUACCAGCAGAGAUCAGGUUAUGGCAGUCGAGUGAAGUUGAAAUGCCGUGAGAUUGAGCAUUUGUACAUGUUGUAACGUACGUCUGGAACACAUUAUCCUUGUUCCUGCUACGGAUUAUAUUCCAGCGCUAUCACAAUCCAAUCUCCACUGCAAUUUUAGGUUCUCUCGAUCUAGCAUUCUUUAAUUAAUUCACAUGUCAUGUGUCAGAUGUAAAGAUAUCUGAGUAUCACAAAGGUUGAUCAAACCUUAGAACAAGUUUGACACUUUCUGGAAAAAUCCAAGUGGUAAUAUAAUCCACCGGGUUAUUACCAUUGGAUACCAGGAUCACGUAUGAGUAUAGCAGUGAUCCUGUUUUAGAGGAUGUAAUAUUGAGUUAUCUUUUAUUGCAAACGUCAUUUAAAGUUAAAUUAGCUAUAGACAUAACUAUAGGUUUUUAAAAACAUAUCAUGAAAUGUGGCGAAGGUGAUCUUGGAUACGACCUUAGGGAACCGAUAAAACUGCAAGGAUGGUGACAUGAGGGUGACUGGUAUUAGGCGCCACUAGUGCCGAACUUAGCUACGGUUGUGGUUGGGAAACUCAUUUUAGGCACUACUGGUGCACAUAGCUAGUACCAUUUUGUAUAUACUUGUACAUUUACUACCUCAAAAGUUAACUGUAAGAACUGAUGACAAGCGCUACAGAUUAUAACAACAUGUAAAUAUCUAGGCAGUGACAAACUGACAAAAACAUAUAGUGUGGACGAAGUAUUAUGGUAUUAUUGGAGAGGUGGAAAAAAAAGGAGAUGAUCAUAAUGCAUUUUUCUAUUCAGAUUUAUCUUCUUCCUUUUUUUUGAUAAAGGCGGAUUUAUCUUCUGAGAUCGAUUGAUCAACUUGAUAUAUCCGACUGGCGCAUGUGAUUUGCACAGGGCACACAGGCUAGGUGGCAUCUGCACCGCUGCAGCAAUAGCAAGCUAAUAAUAACGACGACACGGCCGGCCAAAUCAUAUCAUCAUAAAUAUAUUCUUUUUCUUUUGUGAUCGACUUUAUUUGAGAAGACAAAAAAGAGAGACACACUAGUGCCCUGGCCCUAUCUAUCUAUCUCUGAAGAAUGUUCCUUGUGCUUGCUUUCAGGCCCUGUUUAGUUACUCGCCUAAAAAUUUUUCAUCCAUCCCAUCGAAUCUUUAGACACAUAUAUGAAACAUUAAAUGUAGAUAAAAAAAUAAACUAAUUACACAAUUUGUUUGAAAAUCGCGAGACGAAUCUUUUAAGCCUAGUUACUUCAUGAUUAGCCUUAAGUGCUACAGUAACCCACAUGUGCUAAUGAUCGAUUAAUUAUACUUAAUAAAUUUGUCUUGCAGUUUCCUGACGAGUUAUGUAAUUUAUUUUUUUAUUGGUUUCUAAAAAUCCUUCCCGACAUCCUUCCGACACAUCCGAUGUGACACCUAAAAAAUUUUUAUCCUCGAUCUAAACAGGGCCUCAGUCUAUUUGCUGUCCGUAGCUAGAACUAGCUAGCUAGGCACAUCUGGAGUUGACAAGAAAUUGACACAAACAGGGUUUAGUUGUAGACGUGUAGUUAGGUUUACAAUUUUUUUAUAAGGACGGUACAGUUAUUUCAAGAUAGUAGUAAAAGUAGAACAAACAGGGUUUAUUAGUUGUAGUAGUUAGGUUUUUGGCAUGAGCCGAAAUUAUAGUUUCUAGUUGUGACACACCGUUCCAGAAUAGGAAGAUCAUUUGUAAGAGUAACACAACACACGGAGUUCUCUAAUCCUAAUCUUCUUAUACAAUUAACAUAAGAAUUUCUCAUUUUAAAAAUUAAGAAACUAUAAUUGUCAGCAUGGUCAUUGUCUCACUAAUGUGUAGAGACGAUGGUGACUUGGAUGAAAGACGAGCUGUCAUAGUGGUCGCGAGAAGUGCGAAGGUGGUUUCCAAAGAACCUUAUACUCUCUCUUCUAAUGUAGGAUCAUCAGGGCAAGCAGUUUCGGAGAUCUACUCACUUGUUUGCCUGUGCAUGUAGGCUUUGGGAUGGAGAGGCUACAACAGUGGUACAGUAGCGGAAAAGAGGCAAAACCGUAACUCAAAUAGACAUGUUUUAGGUAGUGGUGGAUAGUGGGAUAGGUUAUUUGUAUAGGGAUGCCUUGCACGAUCUCAUGCAUGUUUCCACGAUCAAUGAUAUAAAGCAACUUGGAUUCCAAUUUGCAGACUUAAAGGUAACAAAAACUAAAACUUCAAAAUGCGGUUGCGCUCCCACAAGGUCGCACGAGUCAAAUUUUGGCAGACCAUUCAUGGAAGUUCCAGAUGCAUGAGAUCGUAACUCUAGGGUUGGGGAAGAGGCUUAAUUGGUUAACUAACCUAGAUCCUAACCCAUUGUCCAUUGAAUUUCUCUUCGUAGUAUGUUGCAUGGCAUGGUACCUUGAACUGCGAAAGCAAAUUAACCCCUUCUCUGCCCAGAACAAUUUUUUAGGACAUGAAAUUGAUUAUUCAAAUAUUUUGCAGAAUAUUAUUGAAUAAUGGAAUCAGAUAUAAAAGAAGGAAAAAGUGCAGGUUUGUGAGAUUCUCAGUAGCUAGGUACGGUCGAUACAACACAAUUCCAAAGAUAUAUUCCUUGGUCCCUGUUGGAAAGACGGCUAAUGCAUUAUCCAAACAUUUAUAUUGAUUGAUGGGUCUCAUGCAUGCAUACCAUCCUUUUCAAGUUUCAACAAAGCAAUAUGAGCAAACUACAGAGCAUUUUGGAUCCAAAUCUUCAAAUACGGUACCUUGAACUUAAUACUUUAGUAUAUAUCUUUCCAAGUCAAAGAUUUAUCACAUGUGUGUUUUAUUGUGGUCCUAGCUAGCAUGCUCAACAACAACUAGUUAGCCACACUACUGUUGUACGUAUAUAUCUUCCAGCUUAGGCCUUGUUUGGAUGUAGUCGUAUUCACCUCAAUCCACAUGUGUUGAGGUGGAUUGGAGUGGAACUUGAACUAAAUUCCACCCCAAUCCAUACCAACACACAUGGAUUGAAAUGAAUACGACAACAUCCAAACAAGGCCUUAUUGAUUCCUCGGAACAUUUUGCUUUUUCCGAUCCAGAAGCUCCGAGAUCAGCUAGCUCUUCGUUCAGUACUCAGUAAACUAGAUCGUGCUGGGCUAAAAGUUGAUAAAUUCCAUGCAUGCAGAUCGAGUGUGGUAGUAGAUCCGGACCCGUUAUGGGAAACCUAGCUGCAUGCCUGCAAACUCUAUAAAAGGCAGCUACCCCCCUGUGCUCCCAAACCAUCAGUCUUCCAUACUCCAUCUCCACGACAACGUGCAUCCACAGCUAGCAGGAGCUUGUUCACUGUUUUUAGAGAGAGAGAGAGAGAGAUCAAAUCAAUAGUAUAAUGGAGCGUGUGAUGCAGCUGGCGUCGGAGCGUGCGGUGGUGGUGUUCACGCUGAGCAGCUGCUGCAUGUGCCACUCGGUGACGCAGCUUUUGGUGGCGGACAUGAGCGUGAACGCGCUGGUGCACGAGCUAGACAGAGACCCUAGGGGCAAGGACAUGGAGCGCGCCCUGC
rnacentral:lncRNA from 1 species